CCUACGGUCGGCAGCAGUGGGGAAUAUUGGACAAUGGGCGAAAGCCUGAUCCAGCCAUGCCGCGUGUGUGAAGAAGGCCUUCGGGUUGUAAAGCACUUUCAGUGGGGAAGAAAGCCUUGGGGCUAAUACCCUCGAGGAAGGACAUCACCCACAGAAGAAGCACCGGCUAACUCCGUGCCAGCAGCCGCGGUAAUACGGAGGGUGCGAGCGUUAAUCGGAAUUACUGGGCGUAAAGCGCGCGUAGGCGGUCUGAUAAGCCGGUUGUGAAAGCCCCGGGCUCAACCUGGGAACGGCAUCCGGAACUGUCAGGCUAGAGUGCAGGAGAGGAAGGUAGAAUUCCCGGUGUAGCGGUGAAAUGCGUAGAGAUCGGGAGGAAUACCAGUGGCGAAGGCGGCCUUCUGGACUGACACUGACGCUGAGGUGCGAAAGCGUGGGGAGCAAACAGGAUUAGAUACCCGGGUAGUC
rnacentral:rRNA from 1 species